UGGGGAAUAUUGCACAAUGGGCGCAAGCCUGAUGCAGCCAUGCCGCGUGUAUGAAGAAGGCCUUCGGGUUGUAAAGUACUUUCAGCGAGGAGGAAGGCAUUGUGGUUAAUAACCGCAGUGAUUGACGUUACUCGCAGAAGAAGCACCGGCUAACUCCGUGCCAGCAGCCGCGGUAAUACGGAGGGGGCAAGCGUUAAUCGGAAUUACUGGGCGUAAAGCGCACGCAGGCGGUCUGUCAAGUCGGAUGUGAAAUCCCCGGGCUCAACCUGGGAACUGCAUCCGAAACUGGCAGGCUAGAGUCUUGUAGAGGGGGGUAGAAUUCCAGGUGUAGCGGUGAAAUGCGUAGAGAUCUGGAGGAAUACCGGUGGCGAAGGCGGCCCCCUGGACAAAGACUGACGCUCAGGUGCGAAAGCGUGGGGAGCAAACA
rnacentral:rRNA from 1 species